UACAGAGGUCCCAAGCGUUGUUCGGAUUCACUGGGCGUAAAGGGUGCGUAGGUGGUUGGGUAAGUUUGAUGUGAAAUCUCCGGGCUUAACCCGGAAACUGCAUUGAAUACUAUCUGGCUAGAGGGUUGGAGGGGGGACUGGAAUACUUGGUGUAGCAGUGAAAUGCGUAGAUAUCAAGUGGAACACCAGUGGCGAAGGCGAGUCCCUGGACAACUCCUGACACUGAGGCACGAAAGCCGGGGGAGCAAACAGG
rnacentral:rRNA from 1 species